rnacentral:rRNA from 1 species
CGAACGCUGGCGGCGUGCCUAACACAUGCAAGUCGAACGGAGUGUUGCGCUGAAAUUGAGAUUAGCUUGCUAAAGGAUAUUUCUUGCAACACUUAGUGGCGGACGGGUGAGUAACGCGUGAGGAACCUGCCUUACAGAGGGGGACAACAGUUGGAAACGACUGCUAAUACCGCAUGAUGUGGAGGGGAGACAUCUCCCUUUCACCAAAGGAGCAAUCCGCUGUAAGAUGGCCUCGCGUCUGAUUAGAUAGUUGGUGGGGUAACGGCCUACCAAGUCGACGAUCAGUAGCCGGACUGAGAGGUUGAACGGCCACAUUGGGACUGAGACACGGCCCAGACUCCUACGGGAGGCAGCAGUGGGGGAUAUUGCACAAUGGAGGAAACUCUGAUGCAGCAACGCCGCGUGAGGGAAGAAGGUUUUCGGAUUGUAAACCUCUGUUUUUAGUGAAGAAACAAAUGACGGUAGCUAAAGAGGAAGCCACGGCUAACUACGUGCCAGCAGCCGCGGUAAUACGUAGGUGGCAAGCGUUGUCCGGAAUUACUGGGUGUAAAGGGUGCGCAGGCGGGAUUGCAAGUUGGAUGUGAAAUACCGGGGCUUAACCCCGGAGCUGCAUCCAAAACUGUAGUUCUUGAGUGGAGUAGAGGUAAGCGGAAUUCCGAGUGUAGCGGUGAAAUGCGUAGAUAUUCGGAGGAACACCAGUGGCGAAGGCGGCUUACUGGGCUCUAACUGACGCUGAGGCACGAAAGCAUGGGUAGCAAACAGGAUUAGAUACCCUGGUAGUCCAUGCUGUAAACGAUGAAUGCUAGGUGUGGGGGGACUGACCCCUUCCGUGCCGGAGUAAACACAAUAAGCAUUCCACCUGGGGAGUACGACCGCAAGGUUGCAACUCAAAGGAAUUGACGG